UACGGAGGGGGCUAGCGUUGUUCGGAAUUACUGGGCGUAAAGCGCGCGUAGGCGGCUUUGUAAGUUAGAGGUGAAAGCCCGGAGCUCAACUCCGGAAUUGCCUUUAAGACUGCAUCGCUAGAAUCAUGGAGAGGUGAGUGGAAUUCCGAGUGUAGAGGUGAAAUUCGUAGAUAUUCGGAAGAACACCAGUGGCGAAGGCGACUCACUGGACAUGUAUUGACGCUGAGGUGCGAAAGCGUGGGGGGCAAACAGG
rnacentral:rRNA from 1 species